GAGCAAUCCAUGAGUACAGUGGCGUACGGGUGAGUAACACGUGGGUAAUCUACCUCUUAGUGGGGAAUAACCCUGGGAAACCGGGGCUAAUACCGCAUAAGCCUGAGAAGGGAAAGCAGCAAUGCGCUGAGAGAGGAGCCCGCGGCCGAUUAGCUAGUUGGUAGGGUAAAGGCCUACCAAGGCUACGAUCGGUAGCCGGCCUGAGAGGGCACACGGCCACACUGGCACUGAAACACGGGCCAGACUCCUACGGGAGGCAGCAGUGGGGAAUCUUGCACAAUGGGGGCAACCCUGAUGCAGCGACGCCGCGUGAGCGAUGAAGCCCUUCGGGGUGUAAAGCUCUUUCGGCAGGGAAGAUUAUGACGGUACCUGCAGAAGCAGCUGCGGCUAACUACGUGCCAGCAGCCGCGGUAAUACGUAGGCAGCAAGCGUUGUUCGGAGUUACUGGGCGUAAAGGGUGUGUAGGCGGUUCUCUAAGUCUGGUGUGAAAUCUCCCGGCUCAACUGGGAGGGUGCGCCGAAAACUGGAGGACUAGAGUGCGGGAUGGGAGAGUGGAAUUCCUGGUGUAGCGGUGAAAUGCGUAGAUAUCAGGAGGAACACCUGUGGGUGUAGACGGCUCUCUGGACCGCAACUGACGCUGAGACACGAAAGCGUGGGUAGCAAACAGGAUUAGAUACCCUGGUAGUCCACGCCCUANACGAUGCAUAUUUGGUGUGGGCCAUUCAUUUGGUCUGUGCCGGAGCUAACGCGUUAAAUAUGCCGCCCUGGGGAGUACGGUCGCAAGGCU
rnacentral:rRNA from 1 species